rnacentral:SRP_RNA from 1 species
CCGCGCUAAGCGGGGAGCUGGCGAUGCCCUGUACCUGCGAUCGCCUAGCAGGGCCUAACCCCCCGCCCGAGGCGGCCGGAAUUCGGUGGAAAUCGGCGCGGAAGCGUUGAUGGCCCGGUCCCGGGCAAUGAGGCCCGGUGAACCGUGUCAGGACCGAGAGGUAGCAGCACUAAGCAGGUAACCUCAUGUGCUUUGGGGUAGCCGGGCCGGAGUGGAUGCGCCGGGAGUUCGCCGGGUUCGGGUCCGUCGAAGGCGGGGUGCGCGG